CUACUCAGAUUUAACUAAUAAAUUUGUUUUUUAAUUAGUUUUGAUUGUUGAUUAUGUAGUUUAUUUUUUCGAUUUUCUUUGUUUUUUUAAUUUCGUUUUGCGUUUUCUUGUUCUUGGUUUUUCGGUUUUUCCUAGAUAUGACUUUCCUAAGAUUUUUUAAUUUUUUUUUUUUUUCGAUUUUUCUUUAUAUUUUUGAGUUUUCGGUUCUAUGAGAUUUUGAUUUUGUGUGUAUCUUCUCGAUUUUGAUUUUGAUUUUGUGUGUUUUUAUUUUCGGCUACUUAGUUUUAUUUUUUUUGGGCAUGAAUUUUCGUCUUUUUUGGAAAUCAGUUUUUCUUUUUUUUCGUUCUUCGCUUUUUAGGAAUCAAUCUGUAUAAUUUUUUUUAAAAUCAAUUUAGGGUUAGGUUAUUUUUGGGAAAAUAUCAGAUAUAGAUGUACUGUGCAAUUCUAAACCCUUAUCAGAUAUAGGUUUAGGGUUUCUUAAUUCCCUUAUCAGAAAUUAGUUGUUCGUUUUUUUUCCGUUCUUCUCUGAUUGAUAUUUGAUCAUCAUCAUGCUAAUCUGUCUUGUUUCAAUUUGUAUUUAUGAAUAUCUUAACUUGUUUAGUAUAGCUAAAGAAUAAGUAACAAGUUCCUGAAAUUAGAGAAUAUGCAUCAAUUGACUGUGUUUUUGUAUUUAUUUCACCUGGCAUUAAUUUCUAUGGGGCAUAUGAUACCUAUCUGCUUAUGAUACCUAUCUGCUUAAUCAUGUUUUUAAUAUAGCCUCUAAUAAGGAGGAGGGGUUUGGGCUUGGGUGGAAAGAGAUGGAUAAAGGACACAUAAUCUUAUCAUUGGAGUCUCCAUCACGAAGUAAGCACCUAACUGCUACUUGAGAAACACUUGGUUAAUAUAUCCAACCAUCAUUAAGGGAAAACAAUAGUUUAUCACAUCCAUAUCAAGCAAUUAAGAAAACUCAGAAUGAUACAAUUCACCAAUUUGUCGUUUUCCACGGAAUACUUUAAAUCCCACUUUUUUUUAUGGUUUGUUAACAACAGAUUGGUUAAACAUGUCAAAACCAGACUACUCUUUCAGGAGUCAGGACUGAAGGUUUGGAAAGCAACUACACAAAAGAAGGUAGAAAGUUAGAUGGUGGAGAAGAAGCUAAGUGGUUUAAGAUGUACCGUCUAUAUUGACACCCUUAUGUUACCUAUAACCCAAUAUGCUAACCAAAAAGUACAAGGAAGGAAAUUAUGAACACUAUAUACACAAGCAGGUAGCAAAGAAUGAAGCGGAAGCAGUAUAGUAAUUUUAAAAUGCUAAUGGGAAAACUGUUAUCAUGCAACUAAACUAAAAUAACAUAGACAAAGACACUACCAGCAUAGCAACCAGGCAACAAGGAAACAAAGAUUAUAGUGCCAGGAAAACUGGGACAUCUAGAUCUUUUUCUGCGUGGGUCUUUUUUUCCCAUAGAAAUUAGAUCUUUUUUACACAAUGUUUGGAUUACAAAACCAAGUUGAUUGAAUGUGUGUAACCUUGACUUAAUGCAGGUAGUCUUUUUUUCAGUUAUAUGGAGUCAUUGUAGCUGUCGUUCAGCUGUAUUACUGGUCAUUGUUUCUUGUCUCUUAGAGCAGCAUGUCUAUAGUAUAUAAAGCAUAUCACUAGCAUGUUAUUUACUUGUUCCCAAAAUGCAUAUAAUAGUUUCAUUAAGUGGUGCAUAGAUUAUGUUAACAUCAUUCAUGUGGAUUGUACUGUGCAGGGAAGAUAUUGAAAUGAGCCUUAGACUUGUGGUCAACUACAGUGGCAUGAAAAUUAAUACAGUUAAAGGGGUUAUCAGAUUUGCGUUUGAGUUUCAUAUUUUUGUUGUGGAGUUUAAAGUGUACAUGUAAUUAUAUGAGAUUUGUAUUAGAUUUUGUUCUAAGUAUACUAGAAUUUAGUUCUAGAAUUAUUUUUUUUUACUUGUAUCUACAUUUAUUAUCAAUAAUAAUUAAAUUGAUUAA